UCGAGCGAACAGACGAGGAGCUUGCUCCUCUGACGUUAGCGGCGGACGGGUGAGUAGCACGUGGAUAACCUACCUAUAAGACUGGGAUAGCUUCGGGAAACCGGAGCUAAUACCGGAUAAUAUAUUGAACCGCAUGGUCCAAUAGUGAAAGACGGUUUUGCUGUCACUUAUAGAUGGAUCCGCGCCGCAUUAGCUAGUUGGUAAGGUAACGGCUUACCAAGACAACGAUGCGUAGCCGACCUGAGAGGGUGAUCGGCCACACUGGAACUGAGACACGGUCCAGACUCCUACGGGAGGCAGCAGUAGGGAAUCUUCCGCAAUGGGCGAAAGCCUGACGGAGCAACGCCGCGUGAGUGAUGAAGGUCUUCGGAUCGUAAAACUCUGCUACUAGGGAAGAACAAAUGUGUAAGUAACUAUGCACGUCUUGACGGUACCUAAUCAGAAAGCCACGGCUAACUACGUGCCAGCAGCCGCGGUAAUACGUGGGUGGCAAGCGUUAUCCGGAAUUAUUGGGCGUAAAGCGCGCGUAGGUGGUUUUUUAAGUCUGAUAUGAAAGCCCACGGCUCAACCGUGGAGGGUCAUUGGAAACUGGAAAACUUGAGUGCAGAAGAGGAAAGUGGAAUUCCAUGUGUAGCGGUGAAAUGCGCAGAGAUAUGGAGGAACACCAGUGGCGAAGGCGACUUUCUGGUCUGUAACUGACGCUGAUGUGCGAAAGCGUGGAGAUCAAACAGGAUUAGAUACCCUGGUAGUCCACGCCGUAAACGAUGAGUGCUAAGUGUUAAGGGGUUUCCGCCCCUUAGUGCUGCAGCUAACGCAUUAAGCACUCCGCCUGGGGAGUACGACCGCAAGGCUGAAACUCAAUGGAAUUGACGGGGGAC
rnacentral:rRNA from 1 species